rnacentral:rRNA from 1 species
GUGAGUAGUUCAGAGUUUGAUCCUGGCUCAGGAUAAACGCUGGCGGCGCACAUAAGACAUGCAAGUCGAACGGAAGUCGUUAUAAUUGAACCUGAAUGAAAGAUUUAUCCGGAAUGAUGGUGAUUUUAUAGCAAUGGCUUUAGUGGCGGACUGGUGAGUAACGCGUAAGCAAUCUACCUAUUAGAGGGGAAUAACAGUGAGAAAUCACUGCUAAUACCGCAUAUGCCAUGAGUAUCGCAUGAUACAAUUGGGAAAGGAGUAAUCCGCUAAUAGAUGAGCUUGCGUCUGAUUAACUAGUUGGUGGGGUAACGGCCUACCAAGGUGACGAUCAGUAGCCGGACUGAGAGGUUGAACGGCCACAUUGGGACUGAGAUACGGCCCAG